GAUUAUGGCUCAGGAUGAACGCUAGCUACAGGCUUAACACAUGCAAGUCGAGGGGCAGCAGAUCGAAAGCUUGCUUUGAUGCUGGCGACCGGCGCACGGGUGAGUAACGCGUAUCCAACCUUCCCUAUAGUAGAGAAUAGCCCGGCGAAAGUCGGAUUAAUGCUCUAUGUUGUAUUUAGAGGACAUCUGAAGAAUACCAAAGGUUUACCGCUAUAGGAUGGGGAUGCGUCUGAUUAGGUUGUUGGCGGGGUAACGGCCCACCAAGCCCACGAUCAGUAGGGGUUCUGAGAGGAAGGUCCCCCACAUUGGAACUGAGACACGGUCCAAACUCCUACGGGAGGCAGCAGUGAGGAAUAUUGGUCAAUGGACGCAAGUCUGAACCAGCCAAGUAGCCGUGCAGGAUGACGGCCCUAUGGGUUGUAAACUGCUUUUAUACAGGGAUAAAGUGAGGGACGUGUCCCUUUUUGUAGGUACUGUAUGAAUAAGGACCGGCUAAUUCCGUGCCAGCCGCCGC
rnacentral:rRNA from 1 species